AGUUAGGAUUUAUUUUUGUACCAAUCAGCUUUCUGUCAACUUUGCUCAUAUUGCAUAUUCACAUCAGAGCGGGGUAUUACUAGUGAACAUUAGCUCACAGAUAUCUUGUUCUGCCUUUUCUGACCAUUAUUACAAUUACAAUUUCUUGUAUGGAAGCAGCAUUUUUAAUUUGCUGGUUAUAUUAAAUUUUAUUAUAAUUAUCCACCAUAUAAACUAGAAUAUUUUUGUUUAUAUUUUAAAGAAUGUGAAAACAUUAAGUACAUGAAUGAAUUGUCUUGGAAAAUAGACUUAAUCAUUUUUAAAUUUAUCAAAUAACAAAUAAACACAUGCUAAAUUUCAAGGGACUCAAUGUAUUUCAUAAAUGUAUUUUAAGAGUACCAUCUGAAGACAACUUUAACAAUAAUACAUGCAUAUAAAAUGUAAAUUUAAAAGUACAGUAAGUCAUACUCUGGCAUUAUCUUGAUGUGUUGAACAGUAUUAAUUUUUUGAUUUACAAAAAAAAAAUUGAAAAUGACACUGUGGAUUAACAAAAAAUGUUUCUUUGUAUGUGUUCCAGUUAGAUUGAGAAUUCAAAAAUGAAGUAUAACAAUUCUACAGUAAGAUGGCAGCUUUAAAUGAUAUCUCUCUUUAAAAUAUCAAAUAAAACAAAUCUAAAACAAUAACCAUAUUGUUUACCAUAAUUGAGUUGACAAUGUAGAACAUGAUUUUUUAGAUAACAAAUUGGAAAACAUCAAUCUUGGAACACAUUUAACGUACUAACUUUUGUACAAUUCAAAGAUAAUGUCAUGUAAGCAGAAAAAAAAUUAUCACUUAUUUGAAUAAUUAAAAUAUCAAUCUUCAUUUAACAGGGUGUUGCAUUACUUAUCAAAAAUUACUAACUAUUGGACAGGCAAAUAUAUCAAAUAAACAGACAAUUCCACUAAAUAAUUAAAAUCUUCUAACAAUGAUGUUUCUGGUGUUAACUGCGUUUGCAUUGACAAUAGUUUCAGCAUUGAAAGUGUCAUUAUCAGAGAAGAUGGGUACUUGUCCCGUUGCUGGUGCUGGAAUGCGGUCUUCGAUGGCCCUGUUGUGGAGGCGGCAGCAACAUUCGAUGAUCCUUACACAUUUUGAAGGGGUGUAGGCCAAAGCUCCUCCUGUUUUGUGCAGACAUCUGUAACAGAAUAUUGAUGUUAUGAUUAACAUGGAUAUGAAUUAUGAUCCGUCACCUAGUCAUGCGUUUGUUGGAAAGUAUAAAUUUAUGCAUUGUCAAGUCCCAAACAUUAUUUUGUAUUUUUUUUAAAGAAUUUUGCAUGUUUUUGCAACUAUUUGUAUGGCCCAUUUGUAAAUGGGUUAGUGAUGUUUUAAAAAUAAUUUUAUAAAAAAAAUGAAUUUGAAAUAAUUUUAUGAUUUGGGUAUUCUGUAUCUAAUUCUCCCUUUUCUGUAUUGUAAGCUCGUCAUCAUCAGAUGGGGGAGCGAUGUUGUCCCAUUGGAAGUGCAGUCUCGGGAAAAAGUUCAAUUAAAGAAAUAAAGAGAAGAUAAAAGAGAAGUGUUACCCAGGUAAGAAAUUUUGCUUAUAUGCUUUAUGUUUGGAGUCUGUUUUGCAAGUCUAAUAUUUGAAUGAAAUCUAUUUUUUUUAUACUUGCCGAAAUCUGGACUUAAGGACACCAAAAGCCCUCUCAACGCAGUUUCUUGUCUUGAUGUGACUGGCAUUGUACUUAUCCUGUUGUCCUGCUUGGGGCGUGAGGAAAGGAGUCAUUAGCCAUGGACGAAGGGGGUAGCCACUGUCCCCUAAAAGCCAUCCUCCACCUGGCAGCUGGUCCAUUAUCUCGGGAAUGCUCGAGUUUGCAAGUCAGCCGUCACGAUUCCCUGCAUAUUUAUGGCAUGAAAUCCUUUCCUGCACACAAAGACAUGCUCAUCGUCUCCAGUCAUUCCGAUGAUUGGAAUCAAAGUUCCAUCAAUGGCACCAACUACGUUGGGGAAAUUUGCCACCCUCAAAAAUUCCUCCUUUGUCCGAAGAAUUUCCUCUUGCCCCAUCGGAAAAAUGAUGUUGUCAAGGCUGGCAUUCAGGGCAUCAACGACUCCCAUAAACAUUCUGCUGAACGAGGGUUGAGAAAUACCAUGUAUGUCAGCAGCCUCAGACUGAAAGUCUCCUUUGGACAGAACUCGAAGAGUUGCCAACACCUGUAAAAAUUAAUUCUCGUGUGUUAAUGUUAUUGCUCAUUCAAAUUUAAAUUAAAGUUUCAAUGA
rnacentral:misc_RNA from 1 species